UACACUCGCACGCACUUUGGUGCUCGUAUGCGCGUUCGUGCGCAUGCAGUUAAACGGGAAACAGGGUGCCCGCCUGCUUCGGACCGGGUCAACCUGUGCUGCCCCCGCAACGGUAAGCGAAAAGCGGCGCUGGCUCGAUGGCUGGGCGCCGCAAAGCAGGCUUCGAUGUCCACGCGCAAGGCCGCGUCGACAUAUCACCACUGGGCGAGAAAUCACUCGCCCGGGAAGGGGAAGCGGCGCUUUCGCCAGCCCGGAUACCGGCCAGAAUACGCAGGACGAA
rnacentral:ncRNA from 2 species